GUAAAAUGAAGAUAUAUUGUUAAAUAUCAUGAGAUAUAAAUAAAAGAUGAAGAUCUAGCUGUACCCGUCCCGAGCCACACUACUGCAGCCACGUUGCUGCUGGCAUUUUUGCAAAAUAGCACAAGGUCACAACAAUUGAUGUAACAAAUAUAAUCAAUGGACCAGGCACCUGCACCAUGAUUCUUUGGAAUACUAAAAUUCGUCUCUUUAUGUCUGUACUUCUCAUAAUGAAAAAUGUCACAUUUUUAUGAAAGAAAUAAUGGAAUCAAAUAAUAAAUAAAACAAGCAUAUGCUGGAAGUCCUCAGAAACAGCUCCGACUUUGAUGAUUUUUUUUUUAAGUCUAUUUAAAAAAAGAAAAUUUUAAUUAGUUUUUAUGUUAUUUAAAAUCAGAAAUGUUUUGGUGGACGAAAUUAUUUAAAUUGUUAAAAAAUAUCUAUGCUAUUUAUACAUAUUUUUUUUUAAAUACAACCGACUUCAAAAAUACAAACUUAUACAGAAAACUAAUAAACGAAAGAAAAUAUUAUAAUAUUUUCUAUCUAUUGAUCACUUUGAAGGCGGUGCCAAUGGUCCAAUUAAUGGGCCGACAAUUAGUUAUCUAAUGUUUUCCUAGCUAUAGGGUUCAAAUUGCUUUUUCAUAUCUUUAAAAGACUAUCUUCGGAAUGAACCCUUUAUAAUAAAAAAGUAUUAUCAAAAUCGGACCACUCAAUAAAAAGUUAUACUUGGUUGUAUACUAAAAUUAAUGGUUAAACAAUCAAUCAUCCCCUGUUUUUGUAAUGUAAAACCAAGCAUAACUGUUAACAUGAGUAGUCCGAUUUUGAUAAUUCUUUUGAUUGAUCAUUCUUGAUUGUUUUAGUUUAAAACCAAGCAUGUCUUGGAAUUCCGAUUUGAAUAACUUUGUUUUAAAUAGAAAGGGUAUAUUCCGACAAUGGUCCCAAAUCAUUAUAAAUUUUAAUUAUUCCCAUUAAUUGUAUUGUAAAAAUAUGCGUAACUUAUUACGAAGUGGUCCGAUUUCGUAAAUUCUUUAUAGAUUGUAAAGGUAUUUUGAUUGUAAAGCUCCCAUAUAAAUUUUAAAAAACAAUUCCAAUCCUAAAUGUGCGAUUGAUUGUUUUCUCAUUCAUUUUAAUAUAAAACCAAGCAUAACUUUUUAUUGGGUGGUUCGAUUUUGAUUAUUCUUUUUUUGAUAGAAAGGGUAUAUUCCUAAAAGUCUCAUAAAA